rnacentral:rRNA from 1 species
CCGGAGCUAACGCGUUAAGUCGACCGCCUGGGGAGUACGGCCGCAAGGUUAAAACUCAAAUGAAUUGACGGGGGCCCGCACAAGCGGUGGAGCAUGUGGUUUAAUUCGAUGCAACGCGAAGAACCUUACCUGGUCUUGACAUCCACAGAACUUUCCAGAGAUGGAUUGGUGCCUUCGGGAACUGUGAGACAGGUGCUGCAUGGCUGUCGUCAGCUCGUGUUGUGAAAUGUUGGGUUAAGUCCCGCAACGAGCGCAACCCUUAUCCUUUGUUGCCAGCGGUCCGGCCGGGAACUCAAAGGAGACUGCCAGUGAUAAACUGGAGGAAGGUGGGGAUGACGUCAAGUCAUCAUGGCCCUUACGACCAGGGCUACACACGUGCUACAAUGGCGCAUACAAAGAGAAGCGGCCUCGCGAGAGCAAGCG